rnacentral:ncRNA from 2 species
CUCUUAUCAAGAGAGGUGGAGGGAUGUGCCCAAUGAAGCCCGGCAACCGUCAGCGCAUGUGCUGAAAUGGUGCCAAUUCACACAAAGCGGCCUGCUUUGAGAGAUAAGAG